rnacentral:SRP_RNA from 2 species
GCCGGGCGUGGUGGCGGGUGCCUGUAGUCCCAGCUACUUGGGGGCUGAGGCAGGAGAAUUGCUUGAACCCGGGAGGCGGAGGUUGCAGUGAGCCGAGAUUGCGGCACUGCGCUGCAGCCUGGGUGACAAAGCAAGACUCUGUCUCAA